rnacentral:rRNA from 1 species
GCACUAUAUACUGUGAAACUGCGAAUGGCUCAUUAAAUCAGUUAUCGUUUAUUUGAUAGUAACCUACUACAUGGAAUACCUGUGGAAAAUCUAGAGCUAAUACAUGCUAAAACCCCAACUUCGGGAGGGGUGUGUUUAUUAGAUAAAAAGCCAACGCCCUUCGCGGGGCUCCUUGGUGAUUCAUGAUAACUUCUCUGAUCGCAAUAGGCCUCUGCGCCUGCGACGGUUCAUUCAAAUUUCUGCCCUAUCAACUUUCGAUGGUACGGUAGUGGCCUACCAUGGUGUCAACGGGUAACGGGGAAUUAGGGUUCGAUUCCGGAGAGGGAGCCUGAGAAACGGCUACCACAUCCAAGGAAGGCAGCAGGCGCGCAAAUUACACAAUGUCGACUCGACGAUGUAGUGACAAUAAAUACUGAUACAGGGCUCUUUUGGGUCUUGUAAUUGGAAUGAGUACAAUUUAAACCUCUUAACGAGGAACAAUUAGAGGGCAAGUCUGGUGCCAGCAGCCGCGGUAAUUCCAGCUCUAAUAGCGUAUAUUAAAGUUGUUGCAGUUAAAAAGCUCGUAGUUGAACCUUUGGCUUGGCGAGCGCGUCCGCCUCACCGCGUGCACGCGUCCCGCCGAGCCUUUUCUUCUGGAGAACCGCAUGCCCUUCACUGGGUGUGUUGGGGACCAGGACUUUUACUUUGAAAAAAUUAGAGUGUUCAAAGCAGGCCUUUGCUCGAAUACGUUAGCAUGGAAUAAUGAAAUAGGACGUGCGGUCCUAUUUUGUUGGUUUCUAGGACCGCCGUAAUGAUUAAUAGGGACAGUCGGGGGCAUCAGUAUUCAAUUGUCAGAGGUGAAAUUCUUGGAUUUAUUGAAGACUAACUACUGCGAAAGCAUUUGCCAAGGAUGUUUUCAUUAAUCAGUUGAACGAAAGUUGGGGGUUCGAAGACGAUCAGAUACCGUCGUAGUCUCAACCAUAAACUAUGCCAGCUGGGGAUCGGACGGUGUUUCUAUUGUGACCCGUUCGGCACCCUACGAGAAAUCAAAGCGUU